rnacentral:rRNA from 1 species
GAUGAACGCUAGCUACAGGCUUAACACAUGCAAGUCGAGGGGCAGCAUUAGGUAGCAAUACUGAGAUGGCGACCGGCGCACGGGUGCGUAACGCGUAUCCAACCUUCCCGUUACUCAUGGAUAGCCUUCCGAAAGGGAGAUUAAUACAUGAUGGUGUUGAAAUUCCGCAUGUUAUUUCAACUAAAGAUUUAUCGGUAACGGAUGGGGAUGCGUGACAUUAGAUAGAUGGCGGGGUAACGGCCCACCAUGUCUACGAUGUCUAGGGGUUCUGAGAGGAAGGGCCCCCACACUGGAACUGAGACACGGUCCAGACUCCUACGGGAGGCAGCAGUGAGGAAUAUUGGUCAAUGGCCGGAAGGCUGAACCAGCCAAGUAGCGUGAAGGAUGAAGGUUCUAUGGAUUGUAAACUUCUUUUAUACGGGAAUAAAACCUCCCACGUGUGGGAGCUUGUAUGUACCGUAUGAAUAAGCAUCGGCUAACUCCGUGCCAGCCGCCGCGGUAAGAC